rnacentral:lncRNA from 1 species
UCAAAAGUGGACCUCUGAGAGCCGUCAAAAGAUUUAACAUGAAUAGCCCCAUAUUUUAUCUCGUGCAACCCUUUGCCCAACUUAUUGAGGGUGAUUAGUGGACAAAUGUUGAGACUAGAACCUCCGUUUAUUAGGAUUCUGGUGAUGAAAUGGUCCUCACAUUGCACGGGGGAUGUGCAAUGCUUUGUUAUGACUGAACCCUUCAGGCGGCAAUUCAUCUUCAUGAAAGGUGAUUUUGUGACUUUCCAAUAUCUUCCCUAUCAUGUUUUCCAUCUCUCCUCCGGUCAUGUUGCUCGAGACAUAAGCCUCGCUCAAUAUCUUCAUCAAGGCAUUUUUAUGCGCCUCAGAACUCUGCAG